UACGUAGGGUGCAAGCGUUGUCCGGAAUUAUUGGGCGUAAAGAGCGUGUAGGCGGUCCGGUAAGUCAGCUGUGAAAGUCAAGGGCUCAACCCUUGAAUGCCGGUUGAUACUGUCGGGCUAGAGUCCGGAAGAGGCGAGUGGAAUUCCCGGUGUAGCGGUGAAAUGCGCAGAUAUCGGGAGGAACACCGGUGGCGAAGGCGGGUCUCUGGGCCGAUACUGACGCUGAGGAGCGAAAGCGUGGGGAGCGAACAGG
rnacentral:rRNA from 1 species